rnacentral:rRNA from 1 species
AUGCUACCGCGCUGCUGCUGGUUUCGCAGUGCGGGCUGGACCAUCUUCGUCAUCUCCGCCGCGGCGUCGCGCCGUCUCUCCCGUAGCGCUCGGGGGCUUGACUUCGACCCGCCCCCGGAGCGGCCGUGCGGGACGGCGCGUCCUCGCCGUCGGCUUCGCCAUCUUCGUCAUCGCCAACGCAGCGCCGUCCGUUCGUCCGUGCGCGCGCACGCCGCGUGCGAUGCCUCGUUUUGGUCGGCCGCAUCCAUCCACGCGCCGCUCGCGUCUGCUCUUCUCCGCGCUGUGGCUUGCUCACGCCGGAAUGCAUUUUCGCUUCUCCACAUUUCGUCUAUACAAGCUAGCUAG